GAUGAAGAACGCAGCGAAAUGCGAUAAGUAGUGUGAAUUGCAGAAUUCAGUGAAUCAUCGAAUCUUUGAACGCACAUUGCGCCCCUUGGUAUUCCGAGGGGCAUGCCUGUUCGAGCGUCAUUACACCACUCUAGCUAUGCUUGGUAUUGGGCGUCGUCCUUAGUUGGGCGCGCCUUAAAGACCUCGGCGAGGCCACUCCGGCUUUAGGCGUAGUAGAAUUUAUUCGAACGUCUGUCAAAGGAGAGGAACUCUGCCGACUGAAACCUUUAUUUUUCUAGGUUGACCUCGGAUCAGGUAGGGAUACCCGCUGAACUUAAGCAUAUCAAUAAGCGGAGGA
rnacentral:misc_RNA from 1 species